rnacentral:rRNA from 1 species
GACGAACGCUGGCGGCGUGCUUAAUACAUGCAAGUCGAGCGAGGCCCAUCCAGUGGCAACACUGGGGAAGGCCGAGCGGCGAACGGGUGAGUAACACGUGAGCAACCUGCCCCGAGGUCUGGAAUAACAUCGGGAAACCGGUGCUAAUACCGGAUUGCCCCACCUGACCGCAUGAUCGGGUGAGGAAAGAUCUAUCGCUUCGGGAGGGGCUCGCGGCCUAUCAGCUAGUGGCGGGGUAACGGCCCACCAAGGCGUCGACGGGUAGCUGGUCUGAGAGGACGACCAGCCACACUGGGACUGAGACACGGCCCAGACUCCUACGGGAGCAGCAGUAGGGAAUCUUGCGCAAUGGGCGAAAGCCUGACGCAGCAACGCCGCGUGGGGAUGAC